AGCCCCCGCAGCGGGCAACCAGGCAAGGCAGAGCGAGGGAGCCCACUGUGCCCUUCUUCUUCCAGAAGUGCUCUCUUGGCGGCCUUGGGCUCUUCUCCUGCGGGUGGAUUGACGCUGUCAAUCUAGCGGCGCGGAGCAGCGUGCAAAGGGUGAGCCCAAGAGCGGAGAAGGGGGGGCAGGCACUGGGAGGCUGGUGGACCCGCGCUGGAAGGCACUUGCUCAGCAGCACUUGGCCUCCUGCUGACCUCCCUUGGGCUGGCCGGGGCUGGGGGGCUGGCGGGGCACCGCUGCUAAGAGCUGGCUGCUGUGUUUUGCCUUGCACUCUUGAAACAGGACUGCACACGUGAGGCGCGCUCCCUUCGGCGGCAUGGAGCCUCAGAGCCUGAGGACCGCGUGCGGGCUCGUGGCACUGAGCUUUUUGCUCCUGUGCCUGCCCAGCUUCCCCUCGGCCUGCAACCUCCUCAUGGUGCUCCUGACGGUGGCCUCCACGGCUGUCCUGGAUAGCCUCGGGCCCCAGGGGCCUCUGGGCGCUGCUGGCAGCCUGGGCAACGGCAGCGGGGAGUUGCCCGGAGCUCAGCAGCCGUCUCCCAGAGCCUGGCGGCCUCUUUCGCGCCCUGCGCAGCUCAGGCGCCAACGCGCAGGGGAGCCCUCCUCUGCCCCACCUCUGCAACGCUGGACCACCCUGCAGCUCUGGCCCCCACCACUGCAGACGGCCUCCCCUCCCGCUGCACGCGGUGCCCGCUGGAGAGCGGUGCUGGGCUCCCUGCUUUGCCCAGGCUGCACUUGUGGGGGCUUCAGACGACUGCGCAAGGGCAUCCGCAGAUGUGCCGCCCUCCUGCGAAGGAGACGACGAGCGCCCAGCAGCCACCAGGCAAGGAGCAGCUACUUUGGUCAAGCACAGAGCUCAGCGCCUGCGCAGAGGCACUGGUAACAAGCGCCCCGCUGAGCUACACGCCUUCGUCACCCCGGCGCCACUGGAAAUAAACCUCUGUGCACCAUU